UAAGGAAUAUUGGUCAAUGGACGCAAGUCUGAACCAGCCAUGCCGCGUGAAGGAUGAAGGUCCUCUGGAUUGUAAACUUCUUUUAUCUGGGACGAAAACGGGAUUUUUAUCUCAAUUGACGGUACCAGAGGAAUAAGCACCGGCUAACUCCGUGCCAGCAGCCGCGGUAAUACGGAGGGUGCGAGCGUUAUCCGGAUUUACUGGGUUUAAAGGGUGCGUAGGUGGGCUUAUAAGUCAGUGGUGGAAUCUCCGAGCUUAACUUGGAAACUGCCGUUGAUACUAUAGGUCUUGAAUUAUCUGGAGGUAAGCGGAAUAUGUCAUGUAGCGGUGAAAUGCUUAGAUAUGACAUAGAACACCAAUUGCGAAGGCAGCUUACUACAUAUAAAUUGACGCUGAGGCACGAAAGCGUGGGGAUCAAACA
rnacentral:rRNA from 1 species